CAUUUUUUUAAAUUUGGAAAAGAGAUGUUUCUAUGCGGUUGUUGAUCAGACUUUCGAAAUCAAUCAAUGUAAUAAUAAUACAAGUUGACUUGGAACCAUGUGAACUGGAUGACCCUGAAAUUUGUAAUAGUAUUUUUGUUGUUCUUAAACAAAGACUAAGUUAAGAGUUUCACCCUAAGAAAGCAAAGAUCAUAAUUUGGGCGAAUAAUGAACCCAACGUUGUACAUUGCUGCUAAGCAAGGUAAUACAGGAGGUGGUGCUUUUCUACUUGCUAUGAUGUGAUAAGGGAUGAAAGAAAUGAGUACCAGGUCACUCCAAAGGGCAACACAGCCCUCCAUGUUGCAGCCCUCUAUGGACAAUCAGGUUAUUUGGAACAAAGCAACAAUAUUACUUUUGAAUUGUUGUGCUUUACCAAUUUUUACCCCUCCUAGCUUGAAGGGGAGUAAUGAGACUUCAUCAGAGUAGUUGGUUGUUAAGUAGUUAAAAGGUGGUUAGAAUGAUUAAGGGUAGUAUAGUCUUUUCUAUUAAAAGUUGUUAUAACUAAUUCUUCCAAUAGUUAGUUACAUAAACAACUAUAAAUACAUGUUCAUGCUAUUGUACAAGUUAGCCUUGUGAGCUCAUAAAUAGAAUUCUACUCUCUUCUCUUCUAGUAGCUUCUGUAAAUCGUGUUUCUGUUCACCAACAAUAAAAAUGAAACUGCACUUCACUUAGCAGCUAAUAAAGGGCACACAGAUGUGGUGAGGGUGCUACUUGGCGUAGUAGGUGGAGAGAGUGAGAGGAACAAUAAGGAGACACUCAUGAGGAUGACAGAUGACAAUGGAGAUACCGCCCUGCACAAGGCAGUGAGGACUGGAUGUGUACACACUAUCA
rnacentral:lncRNA from 1 species